CUCUUUUUGCCCUUCUUUCAUGGGAUGAUACAGCAAGAAGGCCCUUGCCAGAUGCCAGUAACUUGAUAUUGAACUUCUCAUCCUCCAGAAUGGUUUGUUUUUCCUCUCUGUCAUACCUCAAGAGGAACACAAAGAGUGAUGGCCUGUCACUCUGAUGCCUCUCUCUACUCAAAUGGCAGAAACCAACCAGGUGAUGGCCACAGUGGCAGAACCUAGGAAGCCAAGAAGAAACCAGAGAAUGGAGACACAUGGCAGCAAUGGCAAGUCAUCAGACCCAGGAUUUCCCAAAGAACACUGGUCCAGGAAGAUGCUCUGUGAAAAAGUGUUCCCUGGUCAGAGAAAUUUGUGAAACACUUUGCAUACUUAAAAGAAUGUAUGGCACAUCAAAGGUAAUAUGCAAUAAAAGAAUUCAUUUUUUAAAAACCAA
rnacentral:lncRNA from 1 species